UGGGGAAUAUUGCACAAUGGGCGAAAGCCUGAUGCAGCGACGCCGCGUGAGGGAUGACGGCCUUCGGGUUGUAAACCUCUUUCAGCAGGGACGAAGCGCAAGUGACGGUACCUGCAGAAGAAGCACCGGCUAACUACGUGCCAGCAGCCGCGGUAAUACGUAGGGUGCAAGCGUUGUCCGGAAUUACUGGGCGUAAAGAGUUCGUAGGCGGUUUGUCGCGUCGUUUGUGAAAACCAGCAGCUCAACUGCUGGCUUGCAGGAGAUACGGGCAGACUUGAGUACUGCAGGGGAGACUGGAAUUCCUGGUGUAGCGGUGAAAUGCGCAGAUAUCAGGAGGAACACCGGUGGCGAAGGCGGGUCUCUGGGCAGUAACUGACGCUGAGGAACGAAAGCGUGGGUAGCGAACAGG
rnacentral:rRNA from 1 species